GUGAAGGAAUGCACCAAGUGUGAAGUUUGAUAGAAGCAAGGAAAAGUUAAAAAGAAUGAGGCUUCCUGGUGAUGUAGGGGAAAGAAACUCCCUACCUACCAGGUGUCCGGUAUGCUCUCUAAAAUUGAAGAAUGAAUUUUAGGAACAAUGGUGGUGAGGAGCAGUAUACAUUUAUUGAGAGAAAGAAAGUUUUUUUUCUGAGAGAGAGACAGAAGGAGUUCCGAGUGGGUUGCCAAGGAACCUGCCUUUUCCAGGGAUUUUUAUAGAGCAAAACUACAAGGCUGUGAUGGAUAUCCUCACCAGGACUGUUGGAGAGGUCUAAGAGAUUCCUGGAGAAACAACUGGUGCUGAAAAUUCAGACUCCCUUUCAGGUGGAGCCCAGGACAUAGUGGAUAUUCCGUGUCAUAAGGGUUCAGGAAGCAACAAUCCACAGCUGGGGAGACGGGAAUUCUGUCCAUACAGUGAGCACUUAACUGCCGAGGUACGUGCACUUGGACUGCCCUGGCACAUGGAUUGCUGCUCUGUGGUUGAGAAGACAAGAUGGUCUUCUUUUGGUCAGGUUUCAGUAAGAGAAGCAGAGCCACUGCGAAUACUGUGGAGGAGGAUUUAAAAUAUUAGAAAAAGAUCUUGUUCAGUUGUUGGAAAUUUGCAGAACAGAAUCAAGAACCAGUUCCUCUAACACAUCAGAAUGGGUGUAAAGGUGGGAGCUUGCCAAGGAAUUAAUUAGUAAAGACACACAUGUGCAGCUGGAAGGAGAGGAGAAGCCUCCUCAAGGCUGCAGUGUUUGUGUCUGGUGGUGGUUAGGAGCUUCUGUUCACCGGUGAAGUUAGCAUUUGGAAACUUAGCUGGAUGCCCAGAGUGAGAAAGUGAGAAUGAGCUGACUACCGGCAUGCCUGUUUCUGGCCCUUAAUCUCAGGGACAGGUUCUAGAAGAUCUUUGUGUUGCUCACUUCUUUUAACUAGGGUGACCUUCAAAGAGUUAAUGGCUACUGCUUCUGCUUGCUAAAUUACAUUGAUUUCUCUUUCCAUUUAUCCUGAAUACCACAUAGUACACGAUUCCUGGAAACAUAGUUCCAGAUUAGAAAAGCUGAUAAAGAACAACUGAAGCAAAAGUCUAAUUGUUACUGUAAAAAAGAGAGGAAAGUAAGGUGGACUAAGAGAUAGAACCACAGGUAUGUUUGAGUGUGUAGGAUGGAAAACCAUAUUACUGAGCUUUUGUUGGAUCAUUGAACAGAACUGUCUCCAAUUUCACUGUAUGAAUGUUCACUUUAUAUGCUUUAAUUUAGUGAUAUGGACAACUGUUUAUGGGAAGAUAAUGUUAACUGGUGAUUUUGUACUGUACAUAUUUUUUUCUAGAAAUACUGUAUUAUUUGUACCCUUUUACUGCAUUUUUUUAUUCCUUUCUUUUUUUUUCUUCUCUCUUUAAAUAAAUAAAAAAAAAAAGAACAACUGCAGCCAGCUUCGAUCAGCUUGGCAUUCAUUCCCAUAACACUUGUUUAUAGUGGCCAGAUCAUUAUUAUACCUAACAUGAUCCAUUUAUUCCCGUGCAUCUGGAAACAUGCAAGUUCCUCCCACUCCCAGUAUCAAAAGAGGAUAUGAAACCCACAGUUAUUUCAUCCAUUUUUCAGUAAUGUUUAUUUCCUUUCUAGCUGAAUCAUAGUUCUGCUCUUAUGUCAUGUAAUUUAUAAAUUGACAUCUCAGGUAAUGAUGAUUAACACAUUAUAUUAUAUAGCAAACAGCAUUUUAUGUUAUUUCAUACCUAUAUUAACCAAUCAUUUAAAUUUUUUUCUCUCCUAGAUGUAUUUUCUACACAAAUGCACACACAUAUAUUUACAUCAAACAAGGAACAAAUACUUGUAACCGUUGUAAUUUUAAUUUCUAUAAAUAAUUUUGUGAGUCAUAAAUGAGAAAUUUAUAACUUACUUUUCAUAUUCAUUACAUAGAACUUUUGUCAUCUGCAAACAACUUUGCCAAUCAUAAUUUCUUAACUGAAAGGGUAUCCCAAACCUGAAUUCCCUAAAGAUCUGUGCCACUAGUAAUUUCAGUUUUGAGAUCUUCUAGUGUUGCAUUAUUUUUUUAUUGUAGGAAUACGUGAUCCCUAAGAAUUUCUUUAGGCAUAUGCUUCUCUACCUUGAUAUUACAAGCAGUAUAGCUGUGCUAGUUUACUACAUGUGAAGUUAUCACAGUGCAUUUUGCAACACCACACGAUCUUACAUUUCCCAUGGGCCAGGAGGUUAGGGGCGGGUUUCCUGGGUUUUGUGGUCAGGGUAGGACAAGUUUUAAAUCAAGUUGUGUUCUCGGACAGUGAUCUGCCUGACACUCAAAGUCCUUCUACAGGCUCAUGCAGGUUGUUGGCAGAAGUCAGCUGGUUAGGAUUGAGAGCUGAGGAUUGGUUUUAUUCUCUGGAAUCCACUCAGGAUCUAGACAUAAAAUCCUUAUUUUACAAUAUAGCAGCUUAUUUCUUCAUGCCCUGCAGGAGGCUGUCACCUGCUGCAGUCAAGUCUUCUAUGAAGUGAUGUGCUUGCCUUAUCAUAUUUGUAGGUCUUAUUGGCAUUCAAGGGAAUAAAGGAAUUGUAGAAGAUUAAUACCACCAACGGAAAUUUUGUGGGCUUAGAACUCUGUCAACCAGUUUUCCCUUGGUAGUCAAUUAUUCCACCCACGGCAGUGAGCUUCUCCCUUGACUGCUGACUCACUGCCAUGAUGAGUGGCCUGCUGGCAGUUUCACUUUCAGUGUUUGUGUCCUUUGCUGCAGAGGCAUUCUUUCCUUGGAAAUAAAGAGCUCCAAGCUGGCAGGUCCCAAAGAAGUAGGGUCAGGAAGUAACUUUUAUGCUAGUGAAUCAUUUGGCGUAUUAGAGAGAGGAACCAUUCAUUUUCCAUGUCUGUUUUUUUCAGCUAAAGAAUCUUGGUUAUGAGGGAAAAAUCAGCAUCAUAUGCAGUGUGAUCAGAAAAUAAGGUGAAUGUUCAAUUUUUUGAAAAUAGCACAGUAAAAAAUGCAUUUCCAUUAGUCUCCUUCAAAGCAUUUCCUCUCACUUCAAACACACGUAUUCCAUUAUUUUUGCCACUUUCUGAAGCUGGUCUGGAAAUCCUCUUUGUCAUUGUUAAUGGUGAGCUGUCAUAGCUGCCUAGAUGACCUGAGCUGAUUCAAAAUAUUUACCUUUGAUGGCCAUUUUGACUUUGGGGAAGAGCCAGAAGUCACAUGGUGUCAGAUCUGGUGAAAAAUGGUGGAUAAAGACACAAGUCUGACACAAGUAUUUUUACAAGUCUGUCUUUCUGUUGAAUAUCACUUAGCAGCAACUUUCACCAUAAUUUUGAUCAUAUCCGUAAGUGUACUGAUGAAAGAGCACUUUGGGACUUCAAAAAGUGGCAAGAACUCUGGGGCAGGUGUGCUUGAAGCAGGAGAAAUGGGGCUUUUGAGGGGAAUUGAUGGCAAUAUUUCUUUUAUAGUAAUAUUUUUUAUUUAAACAUUCGUUGUAUUGUUUGGUCAUAACUCAUUUAUUGGUCCUUGUCCAAAUGCAGGAAGGAAAGGUUUAUUUAGCUCACUAUUUGUGGAGGUUUCUGUCCAUAGUCAAUUGGCUCCAAGGCAGGGUGACAUGGCCCCAGUGAACACUUCAAGGCAGCAGUCAGCAAAGCAAUAAGAGCAAAAAGAGGGGACCAGCAAGUCUCUUUUCCUCUCUUUUAUUGUAUGUAAGCCAUCCCCCUACUCCCUCCCCACCCCCUAGGGCAGAUAUAACACUCAUAAAAUCUCUAUGCCCUUCUCUUGCACAGAAUGAGGCUAUUUACAAAGUAAGGAUCUUGCUGAGUCUCCCUGCUGAGUCUCUUAGUUAAAACUUUUAAACUUCUCAACUUGACACAAUGUACUGACCAUAGCAGUCCUUGAAUCAGAACAUGUGUUUCACCUUGAAGAAUAUUACCCACUCUAAAAAUGUGGUCAUCCAGCUGGUGCUGUAUCCGAAUCUUUAAAAUGACAUUCCACUCCUUUCUGGAAAUGUGGUAACAUUCAUAAAUUUGCUGGAUGUGAUGAUACAUGUCUGUAAUCCCAGCCCUUGGGAGGCUGAAGUAGGAAAAUUGACUGAGUUUGAGGCCAAUUUAGGCUGCAUAAGUAAGUUCAAGGCCAGUUUGAGCUCAAACAAACAAACAAACAAAAACCAACCAAACAAAAAAGAUCAAUGAAUUUAAUAAGCAAACACCUAUUAUGGGUGUGCACUUGCUGUCAAAUAGUCAAAUAAGUUUCUUGUUUGGAAGCAAUACUAUGUGAUAGAUUAGUUUGUGGAGGAGGUAAUCUGUAGGUCUAUAUCUAUUAAUUUUGAAUGAAGCCUUAUAAGCCAGAAAGGCAAAUCUGUAUCCAGAAAAAUUAUCUUCUCAAGUUAGAAAAGUAUUGCUGUCCUUUACAUGAAUGAAAUCAAAUUGCCACGAAGUGGCUGGUCCCCGCAGUACAGAGUCUCAGAGCUUGGUGUAGCCUUUGUCAUUCUCAGGGAGUAAUCAGCAGUUCUUGAGGACAAAGUGGCAUUAUGAGCAGAGGUCUAUGCUGCUGAGUGCAGGUGUUUUGAUCUUGACAACUGUAGCCUCUUUGUUCAUAGUUGGUGGGACAGAGUCAUGAGUGGCUGGAGGAAGAGGUUGACUCACAUUCAUAGAUGGAGUAAUCACGUCCACCAAAUUGUUCACUGAGAUCUCUUCUGCUAGAACUUUGUUUUUUACUUUGGUAAACACAAAUGUCUUCACAUUUGCCAUUUUAGAAGUCGGGGAAUGUGCUCCUGCCCUAUAGGGUUUUUUUUCAACAAAUCCAAUCAUGUUCCUUCUAGGUCCCUGACUGUCUAACAAAUGGUCAGCCCUGGCCUAUGAAUCAGCAUAGAUCCGUCCUCUGUUUCUCUGUCAUUCUAGGAAAACAUAAAAUAGGGGUUCUGCAUAGAGUUAUGCUCGAGAAAAGGAUAUCCACCUUCGACUCUGUGCAGGGCCACCCUUGAGUGGAAUUGCAGAGAAACCACCACCAGGGGUGGCAGCCUCCUCUAUGGAGCAGCAUGUAACCCAGUCACCAAGGGUUUUUUUUUUUUUUCCUUUUCUCAUCUGAUUAAAUGAAUUCUUGUAACUGUGGGCUGAUCAAGUAGAGGAAACAGCAGAAAUAGAAGCCAGAGGAAGCAGAAGUACUGGUUUGUGUGUUUUACUAGUGCUUUUAGGAAUUGCCGAUCCUGUGUAUACCUUUUCCACUUAAUGAUAGAGAGCUCCGGUCUAUUCUACAUUUUAUGGCUUACUGGAUAAAUCAAUAAUCAGCUAUUCACAGUCAAUGCUGUUUUCAUUUUAUUUUAUUUCUUUGUUUGAGACAGUGUCUCACUGUGUAGUUCAGGGUGGCCUUGAACUCACUAUGUAGUCCAGGUGGUGCUCCCCUGCCUAGACCUACCUCCUGAGUUCUGAGAUUACUGGCCUGCACGAACAUGCCUGGCAGUCAAUGUAACUUUAAAGAUAAUUUACUGGCCUGUUGGUGGUACUUGUUUUCUGCUAGGACCCAACAGAAUUUAGGAGCUAUUUCUCAAAAAGAGAGUAGGCAUCUGCAAACAGUCGGGUAGCUUAAAUUCUUAAUCAUCAAGUUAUGCACCAUUUCUUUUCCUUCUUAAUUGAUUUUAUACUGUCUUUGUUAUAAAAAUAAUAAAUUACUACCAACACGUCUCAGAUCAUUAGGUCUGCAUGGAUUAUGUGAUCUAAGUGGCAGAACAAUUUACACUGAAGUCUGGAUCUUUUGCACAUCCUUCUCUUCUUUGGGCUCCAGUCAGAGCUAGAAGUCUGUUGGGUAUCUCUCUAAUUAGGUAUCCCAUAGCACCAUACCCAAAUGAGGUUUAUGUUGCCUUUGGCAUUCAACGAUUCAUAAAGCAUAGGCCUUUUCUUCACCAGUCAAAUUCAGCAUUCAUUGAGCCCCUUAGCAGGGAUAUAAUGACAUGAUCUGAACUACCUGGACUUUAGAAUUUUUCUGAACACUUUUUUGUAUAUAUAUCUAACCCAAACAUUUAAGGUAGCUGCUACUUCCUGUUCACUAGAUCUAACCAGUAUGAUAUCAAUGUGGACUAUUGUGUUGUCUUGUGCAAUGGAGAGAUCCUCAAGUGAUGUGUCUGUAAAUUAGUACCUAAGGGCAGAGUUGAUAAACCCUUGAAGUAAAAGUUUGGUAGUGGUUUGAGAGAAAGCAUUCAUAGGAUCAGUAGUUGCAUCAAGAACCAGAGAAUGUAUCAGUUUGCUUUAAGAAAGACUUGAUCAUAUAAGACCUCCACUUAAUGAACUGAUGUUGUAGUAGGACUUCUCACUGGUUUAAGUUUAUUAAAAUACAUUGUUAUUUACUAAGAUCUGUUCUUUGGAAAGGCCAAAUAAGAAAGUGAAUAGAAAGCUAGUAACCACCCACUCUGUGUCCUUCAAGACCUUGAUGUUAGCACUUAUUUAUGCCUAAAAUCUGCACAGAAGUGAAAAAGUGGCUUUAUUCUUUAUUAGUUUGGUUGGUAGAGCUGGUUCUAGAUGGACUUCUUCACAAUAAUAGCCCUAUAAUUCUAUAAUUAUAUAUAAUUAUAAUUCUAUAAUUCAGCUAAAUUAUGUAGAAAUUCUGCCAAGUAUUUAUUCUAUGUCUACUAAUAAUAACAUUCUAGAAGUGGGGAUAUAGUCAAGGAUUGAUUUCAGGGAUACUGUGGUAAGAUAGACAUUGAUCAAAACUUUAUAAAUUACCUUAUCUCCAUGAACUUAAUUUAUGAUAAACCAGUAGUCCAGUUUUUGUUUUUUAGUGGAUUUUUGCUGUUGCUGCUGGUGUUUUUUUUCUUCUUUCUUUUCUUUUUUUUUUUUUUUUUCGCAUCUCCAGUUGUGUUAGUUGAGAGCUAGUGUCCAACAAAACUCUCAAAAUCCUAUUGCUUUCUUCUUCAGAGGGGCUAAUAUGAAAAAAUAUGUAUGAUAUAGCUAUGUAUUACUAUGUAUUAGAGACCUUCCUCAGUAGACUGAGCCCCCCUUUCUUGAAAUCCAAAUCAAUUCUGAAUUGGCUCCAACACUGUGUCUCUUUUAUAUGGUUCAAACUAGAUACUUCUUCUCAGUUCCUAGAUAUUGUCCAUAUAUACAAAUCAGAUAAGAUCUCAAAUUUUCCUUACCUUAUGUAUACAGUAUAUUGUCAAGUGACCAGGAUGUCUGUUAGUCAAGCUACUUCAAUUAUCACGUUGGGUUUUCUACUAGCUACAGUAGUCUUUAUCACCUUCUUUUCAGGAGCUUGAUCUUCUUUUGUGCUUUGUCAUAUCAGCCCAAUAAAAUAUAAGGUCUCUUUUACCAUAGCUAACAUGUAUAAUCUUUAUGCAUUUUAAUUGUGUUUCUGUUGAUAAAAAUGGCAAAAAGAAUUUUGCAAAUCUUUGGGUGGGUUUGGUACUUAUUCUGAACCUGACUACGUAGGGUUUGCCAGGACUUACACCUGUUUGUCAGUCUAGAAGCAAGACAGAUGGUGGGCGUAGUCUUGAGUAGAAAUAUCCCCACUAAGUUAUCAUCUCAGGGAAGUGUAUUUCCAUACUUCACAAGGGGAGAGUGCUCCUUUUGCUGGCAAAGAUGAUCAGAACCAUGUAGGGAACCAGUGUCUUGUACUUUAUAGGAAUUUGCCUCUCAUAUUUUUUCCAAUUAAUACACUUACCAUGAUGUUGGAAAUUCAACUGAGGUUAUAAUUCAGAGUUUAGUUUUUAUUUUCAGAAAUUUUGACCUACUGCUAGGAAAAUAAGGGGAUUUUGGGAACAGAUAAGAGAAAUUUUCUGUUUGCUGACUAGUCCUUGAAAUGGGAAUUUAAUUAACCUCCUGAGUCCAUCAUUUUCUUUUUCCAGAUUUUCUAAUGUACUUUGCACAAAAUCCAGCACAUUAUAUUUUUACUUGACUUAAAACUUUUAUUUGAUGUAAAAACUUUUUAUUUUUUCUAUAAAAAAAUCCUUGACCACCCAAAUGUAGCCUUCUGUAAGAUUUUGAAUGCAGGUGAUAAUUUAAGCAGUUUUUCUUUUUGUCAUUUUAUGUUGCAGAAUACCAGAGUUCCUUUGACCCCAUGCAGAAAAGUUGUUCAUGCUUUUGAAACUAUUUAGUAAGAGAGGUAAUUCAUUCUUCUCAUCCUUAAACUGCCCCAGAAAGAUUCUUGGGACCAAUAAUUGUAGCACCUAGCAGUAGUAAGAAGACAGAACCACUCUGACAAUUAUGGAUCAAAGAAUUUGUUGUUCAGUGAGAAUUUAUACAAUUGCAGGAGAUGUUGGAGAAAUAUGAGUAUAAAAGGAGAAUUUGAGGAUCAAGGAAAAGGCACUUUCUGGUACUUCUGAAGCCAUGGUACAAGUGAACAAAUUGGUGGUUGUGAGUGAACAUGUGAAGAUGUGAAGGCAGGUUUGUCCCCUUGCCAGUGUGUGACUGUAACAGAGAACUUGUGCAGAGGUCUAUACGAGGAGUGUGCUUCUGUGUCUGUGGUGGACUGUGCAGUCCUGUUGAUUAGAGAGGCUAGUGGUCAGGAAAAGAGCUGGACAUGGUAGCUGGAAUCAUUUUCUCUUAUGUAUUUAUCUUUCCAUGUGGAAAGAUUAAACACAGGGUAAGGUCUGCUGGUGGGUCUGAAUAUGUCUCUUACUAAGUGUAGCCUUGCUGAUUUCCAGAGAGUAAUAAUGGUAUUUCACCUCUGCCUCCCAGAUUUUGUGAUCAUCUCUUUUUCUUACCAAUUUUAAAAUAUUUUUUCUUACUAGUACACCGUUAGUAUAUAUAAUGAUCACAUGCCUUGUGGGAAGCUUGCACAUGUACAUAUUUUAAUUAUUUUUCUUCCUUUCCCUUCUCAUCCCUCCCUGAUCUCUCCAAUUAUUGCCUCCCUGGCCAUUUGCAAAAGCUCUACUUGCAUUUUUUCCUUAAUUUCUUUUGGUUUUUGGUUACUUCUAGUGGGGAAACUACAGAGGAGUUUUAGGAAACAGUUUUAGAUUUUCCAACUGGCACAGAAUGAAAUCGCCAUAUCCAUUGUGUCCUCCAUCCCUCCAGUGAGGUGCUCACUGACCGUGAGUUUAAAUAGUGGUGUCUAAGACCAAUAUUUCUUGGCUUUCUGAGCAACUGAAAAAAGGAUUCUGUCUUUGCAGAAUCAAAUAAAAAAGACUUGGUGAGGAAAAGACAAAUAUACUUGAUUCACUUUGGCUUUGUUACAACCUCCUGGCCUAUUUGAUUAAUGCACCCUUUCUUUUUCCUGAAAGCAAUGGGAACAGUUGAUAAAGCAAGAUGGUUCAUAUUUGGAGGUUGAUGGAGGGUCCCCUUUAGCCAUGAGAAGUGCUCAUGCUUUGUAAAGAGGACAGUUACCAGAGGUAUCCAUGGAACAAAUCAUCACCUGCAGCCUAUGUGGUUUGGAGUAGGCUGUUUUGAAGAGUGAAUAUAUUUUAGCUUUAGCCUCUACUGAGAGGUAUCACAGGGAAAACAAAAUAAGGGUCACCUAGUUCUUAGUCUUUUAACUCCAAGCAUUAGAGGGAUGUGCUCCAUAACAACUAUGUGCCAGACUAAGCUGAGUACACACAGUGUCACCCAAGAGUUCAAUGGCUUCUCAUUCUGGAUCCAGAAUGAAUCUCACAUGUCCAUUGUCAUUUUGUCCACAUUUCUUUGCUGUUUUUGAUUGAUUCUGUUUUAUGUAAUCCACUGACUUCUUUAAAAUCUGUGAGUUCUACACCAUAUCUUGCAUCCUAUGCAAUAUAAAAUGCUCUUAUAUGUGUUUUUUAUAUGUCAUUGUUUUCUUCAUGAAUUCCUAUCACAUCUCUAGGUACUGCAUGAAUAUUUACUGUCAUUUUAGUAUUUCUUUCUAACAUCCAAUUCAAAAUCUUUAUGAUCAACUUCAACUAUUGUUUUGAUAAUUUUUUUCUCAUUGCUUUUGUUUUCUUGAUUAACAAUAGUUAUUAUAUCUGCCUAAUCAACUAUGUCAGUACCUCCCACUAUAAUUAGGAAUAUUCUAUAUUUUUUAAAAUUUAUCAUUAGUCCUCCAAGUCCCUCUCAUUCCAAGGUCCCCUGGAAAAUCCUGUGAUCUUUUAUCAUAUUUUAAUAUUUUUAUUGACUUGCAUAUUGUUAUGGUUGGUGCAUUGUGUCAACUUGAGAAGUUUUGAAAUUUAACGAAGAGAUUCAGCAGGGAGCCAGGAUCCUUACUCUGUAAAUAUCCUCAGCCUGUGCAAGAGGAGGGCACAGAAGUAGUGUGAGUGCUACACCCACCUUGGGGGGCUUGGGGGUAGCCUGUUUAUAAUACAAGGGAGGAGAAGAAGCUUGUUCUCCCUCUUUUUGUUUUGGCUGGUCUUGCUGGAUGCUGUCUUGAAGUGUUUCUCCUGUUUCAUGUCACCCUUCCUUGGAGCCAACUGAUUAUGACCUGAAAUCUCCACAAACAGUGAGCUAAAUAAACCUUUCUUUCAUUUUGAGCAUUUGAUAUUUUGUCCCAGUAAUGAGAAAAAAAAUGCAUAAUCUAAUUCAAUCUUAUACUCUUAUACUUAAAAAUAUUAUUAUUUUUAUAAUACUAUGAGUUUGCCAUUUUCCCUCAAAUAUAUGUAUUAUUUGAAUAUUUUCUUUAAUAGCUAUAUAUAUGAAUACAUCAUAUUUUAAUACUUAGUAUAUGUGCUAGUAAACCAAGGAUUAAACUUGGUACCAUAUCUGUUAGAAGUUAGUUAAAACAAAUUUAGAAAUCAUUAAUAACAAAUAGAUCUUGAACUUGUUAGAGAAAUUUUGACAACUUGAGAGUGGAAAUAAAAUGAAGUGAUAAUUUUUGUGUUCACUUGUUUACAUCUAGAAUAUAUGGAGAUAAUUGUAGUUUGAUUUUGAAACAGUAGUGCUGUAAGAAUUGUUAGGCUACAGUAACAUUUAGUAGCCAAAGAAAGUAAUGAAAGUUUAAUUAUAAUAAAAUUAUAACAUACUUUAAGAUAAUGGCAGAUUUAUUUACAAUUCAUUAAAGACCAACUAAUGAUAAUAUUAGGAACACUUAUUGAGUUCUACUCCUUUAUAAUCCAAUCCUAGCUCAGAGAAAUUCACUUUUAAUGACACAUAAAAGUCACUCCUUGUAACUGUUCAGUGUUCAUGAAGCUGCCCUAAGAGAUGCCCUACCACAACUAACUUCUGGUUUUUAUAAGAGUUGUUAGCAUAUUAGUUUAACUCAUAUCUACAUCCUUUGGUUUGAUGCAAUUUGGGUUAUGACAUUUGGUGUUAUACUUUGUGUAUUUUCUUGUCUAAGGAGCAGAAUACAUAAGGAUUAAUUUCUCAAAGGGACUGUUGCUGGCUGCUGUUUUGAACUGUUACAUUCAUCAGUAGGUUCCUUGAUUCAUUCCUUCACAACUAUUUUCUAAGCAACCCCUAUAAACAUUUUUGUGCUUGACAAUGGGCUAGGUUCUAGGAAAGCAAAACUAAAUAAGACAGUAUACUUAUGCUCAAAGGUUGCUUAUAGACUAUGGAGGAGUCAUAAAUCAAUUGCUACAGUAUAAUGUGCUAAAUAUUAUUUUGGGGGAAGGGAGGACAGAGCAGAGACAGUACCUAGUACAUAAUAGCAUACACUUACUAAAUAUGUGUUCAGUUGAUUAAAUGAUGGGUGGAUCGAUGGGUACAUAAAUGCAUAAAUGCAUGAUUUAGGUGACUAUGGAUUGAGAGAAGUGAUGGCGAAUUCCUCAGAAAAGGAUGCUUAAAAUGAGUUUCAAAGAAUGAAAAAAAUGUUAGUAACACAAGAGGGGAAAUUCAUUCAGGGAAGCCAGUCAGAUUGGUAUGAAAAAUACGUUGAACGCAUCAAAUACUUUUCUGUGUUCAAGUAUGCAAACUUAAAUGGCAGAGAAAAAAGUUCAUUUUGUGAUUGGAAACUUAAAAUCAGCAUUUAAAAAACUGACCUCAUGAAUUUUCCUUUAAAAUGUUUUUCCUUAUGAUGUUUCUCUCUUGAAAAAUGAUACAACUAGUUAGACCAAAAAAAAAAAAAAAUUCCAGAUAUUACCCUGCCUUUAGUCUCUAGUCUCACUUAAUUCGUCACCUUUGCUGUAGAUUUUACUUCUUUGUUAUUUCUUUUUUAAAAUUUUAUUUAAAGAAAGACUAAAAACAGAAAAUAGGUAGAAAUAAUACAUACAUUCAAAGAAAAAAUAAACAGGAAGAAAAUACUAGCUUAUGUUUACGUACUGUCCUCCUACAAAUAGUUGUUCAAAAUUCAAAAGUGGAACAUAUAAAGUGGGAAUUCAAAGAGCGAGACUGCAAACAGUUCUGUUCAACUAUCCAACAAAUACUUAGAAAUAUGGUUAUUAAUCCUAUACACUUAAACAUACAUGCAGUUAUCCAUAUCUUCAAUUGUGUUGAGAUUGAACAAACCCAAGCAGGCUAAUAUCACUCUGAAUAAAGAAUAAUACUAUUGCCGGGUUUCACAAUAAGACACUCCAGGAUCAGCACUGAGUACUUUAGUGUCCCUUUUUCUUCAAAGUAUUUGUUUGUUUCAUCAUAUGUCAUAAGAUCGUUCUCAUAAACUGUUUAUAGGUUCUAUACAUGCAUGAGUCUUAACAUGUAUUUCUAUCCUUUCUAUGUUAGAGGGAGAAACAAAACAAAGCAAGACAAAACAAAACAUAUUCCUACAAACACAUAAAAUAAACAAGACAUAUAAAACCGUUGUACAAGGAGUUCUACCAUAGUUCCUGUGUUGUCUCUUGUAAUCUUCAAUAGAUUUAGCUAUAUCAUCAGGCAUAGUAUAAUUGAAUAUAUCAGUACGUAACAGUAUUAAUAAAAACACAACUUUGUAUAUAGUAUAGAACUUCAAAAACAGGCAAUAAUCAAACCAGAAUGUAGUAAAUCAAACCAAAUUGUAGUAAAUCUUGUCAUCUUCAGUGUAGUUGCCUAUACUCUCAGACUUGAUAUUAUCAAUCAUAUCAGUUUUGAAAAAAUCUAGGGGCUGGGGAUUUAGCUCAGCGGCAUAAGAGCCUGCCUUGCAAGCAGGCAGUCAUGAGUUUGAUCCCUUGUACCAAUAAAAAGGAAAAAGACAAAAAAAAAAUCUGUUGAUACUAAACAGCAAUCAAACAAACCAGAUUUAACUAAGAUCAGUCAUGAUAAAACAGUAUAAGUCAUAAAGGGCUCCAGAUUAAUAGUAAAUUAAAGAUGAUUACUGUGCUAUAUCCUGAUGUUUUUGGGAUAGCUGUCUGUGCCCUCAAAUCUAAUGCAAGUAGACAAACUGGAACAGAAUAAAAUCUAUGUAAGCAGAGUUGUGUGAGUAAUGUGGGUUUUAAAUUCUGAUACACUAUUAAAAAUAUCUUCUGCCAUCUUUUUUAAGACUCUCCCUCCCCUUUCUCUUCCCCAGGGUACACUGUGCAUUUUUGGGUCUGACCAAGACCUGUGGUUUUAAAGUGUGUGUGGGGAGGGGCAACCUGCUAUUUACCUAAGUGGUUCCAAACCUUUUCUCUCCUGGAUUUAAUCUCUAACUGUAUUCCUUUACCUAUUAAAGCCUGUCUUUCCAACCUAUCCACAAAUGCUGGUCUAGUUGCCCCUAUUACUCUCUGGUUCUCUGUCACAUAGAGCAUUGUUUUCUCAUAUUUGAUUUUAAGUCUAUGUACUCUUUUUCAUGUUAAUUAUAUUUCCUAAAAAUAGCCUCUUGGGAGAACUUACCUCCUGAUCUACUCUAUGUGUGUUUCUUUUUAAUUUAGUGUAUCAAGGCCAUCUAUAUUAGAGAUUAUAACCAACCUUCUCUGCCUCAUUUCUGUUAUGCUCUUUUUUUGCAUUAGUUGCCUGCUUGUCUUCUUCAUUCUGUUUUCUGCUCCAUUCAUUGAGGCCUCUCUGCCACUGUUCCUGGAAUCCUAGUACUUUUCUCUCUCUCUAAAAUGCUCCACAGUAUUCUCUGUAGAGUUGGAUAUGUGGUUGCGAAUUUUUCAAGUUUCUCUUUGUCUUGGAGGCAUCCUGUUUCUCCAUUAAUCUCUAGAGACAGUUUUGUAGGGUAUAUCAAUCUGGGCUGGAGAUUAUUUUCUUUCAGGGCUUGGAAUACUUCACUCCAGGCUCUUCUUGACUUGAUGGUUUGUGUUGAGAAGUCUGCCAUUUUUCUGAUGGGCCUUCCUUUAUAGGUUAUCUGUUUCUUGUCUCUAACAGCUUUUAAUAUUCUGUUCUUAUAUUGAAUUUCUGGGAUCUUGAUUAUUAUAUGCCUGGUUGUAGUUCUGUUUUCGUUGUCUGUGGCUGGAGUUCUGUAUACCUCAUACAUCUGCAUAUCAUUUUCUUUUCCUAUGUUUGGAAAGUUUUCCUUAAUUAUUUCUGUGAAUAGCCUUUGUAGUUCCUUUGUUUAUAGCCCUGCUUCUUCAUUCACAUUCUUUGUUCUGAAGUUAUAGAUCCUCUUGUUAUCUCCUAGCCUUUUUAUUGUUAAUGCUUGUUUCCUUGCUAUUUUAAAAAGUUUUUCCUUUCAUAAUCCCACAUUGCAAACCUAUUCUCCAGUUUGAAUAAUCUAUCCUUAGUUUCUUUCAAGCUGUUUUCCCAUCUGUCCAUAGAGUUUUUAAUUUCCUGGUAAUCUCUUUGAAUCUGCUUCAUGUAUUCUGUAUUUUCUUUAUAUUCUUCAUCAAAUAGUUCUCUCCUUUGAGUUCCUCCAUUCUUCUGUCUGUGUCUUCUUGAAGGGUGCUUAGCACCUCUUUUAUUAAUCUUCUUGUAUCUUGCUUUACUUGGCUAAAUAUUUCCUUUUUAAACUCAUCUAUGAGGUCCUGAAGAUAUCUCUUUAUGCCCACUGGUGCUAUGUCUGAUAUUGAAUGUUUGUUGUCCUCAUUCUCCUUUGCAUUUACCUGUCCUGGGUCAAUGUUUUCAGGGUUGGGCCCUCAGGACUUUUUCUUGUAGCUUCCUCUUCCCAUCUUUUUGGUUUCUUCCAGGAGGCCCCAGUUUCUUUCUUUGUUGGUUACAAUUCUUAUGAAGCACCCUGGCUAGGUGACCCUUCCCUCUGCACUGUGCUAGUGAGUUGCAAACAGGGGCAGCUUGUGCUGGCCCCUCCCCUCCAGAUCAGUCAAGCUGCUGAGGCCUGCACUGUAUUACUGUGCUUUGCCUCCCCUCUGGGUUAGUCAAACUUCUGAUAUUUUGUCUGCGUGAGUGUGUGCUGCCACCAUAAGGAACUGAUUUCGGAUAACCUAUUCGGUCUCAGCCAGGUUGCGUGACCCAGGCCAAGCUUACUCCACCAAUCCCAUUUGGGAAGGGAACAACUGACUGAAAUCACUGCUGCCCCUUGUUUUUGCCAGUCCUGCCUGGGUCCAGAAUGUCAUCUGUUGGAGCCCCUUUUUCUGAGGGAUGGUUUUACUCCCGUCACUCACCACAGGUCGAUGCAGGUUCCCUGCUAGCUCAGCUCUCCCUUUGGCUUGCAGACCCCUAAUCUCAGUGUGACUGUGUUUCCACUGAGUCAAAGCAGAGGGAUUUCAGACAGCUCGGGUGCUACAGCAGGAGCACUGAGCCUUUAGCUGUUCCAAUAGUAGCACCAGGACUGUAUGUUUGAUUGGUUCUUCUUACCUUAGUUUAUUCUUGGGAUGAGAUAAUUCAUCUCCCUCUGUUUGGGACUCCCCAUGCCGUAUUAUGUUGAAUUCUAAGUUGACUAUCUCAGGGAGCCUCUGUGCCCUGCUAUUAUCUAUCCGCCAUCUUCGGAUAGAUAUUAUUGUUAUUUCUUGAGUUGCUCUUCCCCUUUCUGUUCUUCAAUACAGUUUUUAACAGUCAAGAUCCAGUAUUCUCAUUUUUUUGUGUCUUUAAUUCAUUCAACAAGUAUUUCCCCAUUUACCUAUUGUUUUCAUCCACAUUGCUAUUGAAGUAAUAUUUAAGAUAUGUAUACUCAGUCAUUUCCCUCCUAUGUAUUUAGAGGAGAUCAAAGGGGACCAGAUGAUGAAGGGCUUCAUAUUUUAAUCUAAAUAGUUCAAAAUUAUUGCUGAAAACUAAUGAAAUCUAUUAAAAGAAUUUACAUUGAAGAGUUAUGUCUCCACUUAUGUUUUAGAAAAGAUUUUUUUUUUGGUCUUUUUUGAUACAGGGUCUUGAUAUGCAGUUCAGGCUGGCCUUGAGCUCACUUUGUAGCCCAGGCUGGUCUCAAACUAGCAAAGAUCCUCCCAACUCAGCCUUCCAAGUACUGGGAUUUCAGGUGUGAGCCACCACAUCCGGCUUAGAAAAGUAUUUUAAAAGGCCAAAUAUCUGAUGGAGAGUAACCCAAUGAAAAGAUGGAUGGACUAUGGCAGGACUGCAGUUAAUAAAGGAUACUAGGAAGGAUUUGAGUAAAUACUGGGUGAGAACGGGAUCAUAGUUACCACAGGAAGAUGGGGUAUUUUAAAAGAGGGAGCUUGCAAAAAGACUUUUAUCAACUUAACUUUUCCGAAGAGCAAGCAAGUUGUCACCAACACCUUAUUUACCUUGUCUUUUUUUUUUUUUUUUUUUUUUCAUUUUGGAGCAAUAAGAUUGGAGAAGACAAUAAUAGCAAUCACAGGAAAUAUUAUAAUCAUGGUUUAAAGUGUAACCUACAUUGGCCUUCACUGCAGAUGUUAGUCAAGGAUCAUGUAUUAGUGGUCCCAGAAGAAAAGAGGAGAGGAGUGAGGGCAGGGCAAUAAAGGAAAGGAGGAGAGACAGACAGAGACAAAAGCAGAGAGACAGUGAGGGACAGAGAGACAGUGAUAGGUUGAGUUUUGGUUUUGCUUCUUCAUGAGAGCAGUCAGUUUUCACCUCCCCAAGUCCUAGGUUUUCAAGGCUACAAGAGCAGAAAUACAAUGGAAAGAAGGAAUCCAUGAAAUGUGCUACUUAAACUUUUACACGUUUUUCAUUCUUAUCUUCCUUAUUACUAGGUCUGCUUUGUUCUGUUUUUCUUUUCCCCCCCAAUAGUGGGGAUUAAUCCAAGGCCUUGGAUGUGUUGAACAAGUUUCUGCCACUGAGCUGCACACCUCACCCUUAUCUUUAUGAUUUUGGUGGUUUUGUCUCUACCACUGAUCUUCCUCUUUUAGUAGGAUUUUAUCUUUUUUCCCCAGUUAUUGAUCAUUUAGCAUCAGCAAGACAUAAAACAAGAGUGGAAACACGUACACGUCCUUUAGAAUUUUUCUACAAUGUUCAGGAGUCCCAAAGCUUGAACUUGCACAGAUAAGGAGCUACUUGACUCCAACUGGUGUUUCCUAUAGUGAACCAAGAUGCCUCCCAACAGUGCGUGCAUCAACUUUUGUUCAGUCUGAUGGAAAAAUGUCCUGGUUUUAGCAAAUGACUUACUCUGUAUAGGACUGAGUUCUAGGAGAUGGGGUAGUGUCUCAAAGCUUCUUUAACUUAAACCUCUCUAACCUCAGGACAGAGCAUCAUAGUUACACUAGGAUCAUAUUUCUUCUUUUAUCUGAUCAUUCCAAAGUGCCCGUAAUGACUGCUAAGAUGAACAGCUCCUCUGGUUAAAUGCACUAUAGCUCAGUGCACAAGAGCACUGGUUAAUGUCUUGCUGAAAGCUCCAACUCGCUACUUGCUCACCAGAUUAAAGUUUUUGAUUCCAUGUCCUGAGCUUGUUUUUACUUCCCCCACUUACGUAGAAUUCAUCAAUAAUACCAAUUUCUGCUAACUUAGAAGUUCAAAGAUCCACAAAGCCACUACUGGGCUAUGGCUAUUAAUUUUAGCUAUCUUAGCAAAUUCAACCUGUCCAUAACGCAUUUUGAUCUUCCGUUGCUAAGUCUUGGGUCUCAUCUGCAUGUAGAUUUGAAACCAAUGCACCCUGUGUUGGGGAUUUAGGAUAAGUAACUACAUUCUUUCCUUAGUUUCAUUGGAUUCUGUAUUAGCCAGCAUUUUACCAGAGAAACAGAUAUAACAAGAUAUACAAAUGUAUAAGAAGUUACAAGAUUGGCUUCCUACGGUCAGCCACAGAGUCAGAUGAGGAAGUGUACAGAGGAUGUCUGCAUGCUGGAGGUCAAAGGAUUCAAUCCAAGGCCUGGAGUUCACUGCAGUGUCCCUGUGGGAGUCCACACCAGGAGGCCGAUGGGUCUGCGAAGGAAGGCUGAAAGGGCUACGCUGGAGGGCAGAAGCUGAAGAGCACAUGCUGGCAGCCAGGAGACUAAGUCUAAGUUGAAGGCGAAGACUGGCGCUUCUCUGAAGGAUGGAACCUCACCUGUCCUUCCCUUUUGGUAUAUGUGCUGCUGAAGCGAGCUCCUCUGUUCCUGUUACAUCAUCCAGGCAGUGAGCCACCCUAGGGUGGGUCGUCUACACCUAGAGUAUAGAGUUACUAAGCCCAUUUAGUUAAGCUUCUAAAUGUCGCAAAUUGACACAAACAACCACUACAGAUUUUAAAUGGAAAAAUAUGCUUAAGAGUCAGACAAAGAUUGAAAUAGCAGUGCUACUGAUAAAAGCAAAUUGGAAGGUUUGUCUUAGACUUGAGGCCCAAAUGGGCUCCUUCUUAUUUUCUUCCUGAGUUAUAUUUUAACAGCAGACACAAUGGUUGGAAAACCCUUGGCUUCAUUUUCCCUUAGUGCCCUAAAGCUUGUAAGCGAGCAACCUAAAACAAAACAAAACAAAACAAGUUCACAAUGCAACAUGACUUUAUUUCAUUUACUCUGCUUAUUGUCAAUCAAAUGCUUAUCAGUAUUAGGAAGGUAUGGGAUAUGGUCAGUGGAGAAAACAAUCACUUUUUAUGAAAAGGCAGAAUGCUGUGGUUUUUCUUCCCAAUGUGUACCAGAGGAUGGGUAGUACUGUUUUAUGAUUUAAUACAGGUAUAUGAGAGGACAGAAAGGAUUUUUCCUGCAGAAGAUAUGACGUUGUGAAAUGCCACAUAAAUAAAGUCAAAGUAAAGGUCAGUAAACAUAAGCCCAGAAAACUUCCAAGAGUAUAGUUUGGUGGCUCUCCGGUGGAGUGCUUAGAAUCGGCAGUUUCUCUAGUGCCAUGCUUCAGAACCACCUGCAUAGGUUGCAAAGCCACAGAUUACUGUAUUCCAGCUUCUGAGAGUUUUUGAUCAAAUAGCUCUUGGUUAGGGCUGGUUGAUUUGCAUUUCUAACAUGUUUUAGGUAUUAUUGCUGCUACUGAUCUUGGAAAAGAAAUAAAGCCUUUGGAGCAAAAGCCAACUUAUUAUUGUGGAGUGAAUGGACUAUGAGAAACAAGAGGGUAGGUUACUUCUUCUAUCAAGAAAUGUGGCUAUAAUGAUAAGUGGACAUUUAUGGUGACAGAAUUGGUUUUGCCAUACAUUUACAGUGAAUACUGUUAUAAACCACCUUUUUGAUAAACUACCUUUUUGCAAUGGUUGUGUGCUGGAUAUCUUGUUUGGUGCAGCAGAUAUACUCUUUCCUUCUUCUCCUCCUUGUCCUCCUGCUCCUCCUCCUCUUCUCCUCCUCCCUCUUUACCAUUCUCUGAGCGCUGCCCUGCCUCUGUAUCCCUGCUGCACCUGGUGAGUGGCGAUUCCCAGUGGAAAUAAGAGGGAGGGAGGAAGAGAAGCUGCAGUGUUUGACCCUCUUGCUUCCUGCCUGACACAUUACCUCCAGCUGGUUCUGCCUCUUCAUAAAAAGUGAUUGUUUUCUCCAAGGUGAACAUUUUAAAAAAUAUUCCAUUUGUCCAGAUUCUAAUACUUGUUGUCUUGUUUUGUUUCUGUUCUUUGGGUCUUUUCCCUGACCAUACCUUUAUUAAACAGUCACUUAUCAAACCUUUUCUGAAAUAGUCCUCUAUACGGACUCUAUCAACAGUGCUGGAUGAUGUAAGGUAUGCACGUGUGUGUGCUUGCUGUUA